AGAGAGAAGACAUUGCUGGAACUGGCAGCAGAGAAGAGAAACCUUCAUACAUCACAAGACCAAUGAGGAUGAAGGCGGACCGGAGUCACAUGACUGAGAGGAUACUAAACCUCACCCUGGAGAUCAUCUACCUGCUGACCGGAGAGAGAUUUCCUCUUG